GGGCCCGUGGGGUAGCUGGAUAUCCUCGGGGCCUCCGGAGCCCUUGACCCGGGUUCGAAUCCCGGCGGGCCCG
rnacentral:tRNA from 2 species